rnacentral:misc_RNA from 1 species
GAUGAAGAACGUAGCGAAAUGCGAUAAGUAAUGUGAAUUGCAGAAUUCAGUGAAUCAUCGAAUCUUUGAACGCACAUUGCGCCCGUCAGUAUUCUGGCGGGCAUGCCUGUUCGAGCGUCAUUACGCCCCUCAAGUCCCCUGUGGACUUGGUGUUGGGGAUCGGCGAGGCUGGUUUUCCAGCACAGCCGUCCCUUAAAUUAAUUGGCGGUCUCGCCGUGGCCCUCCUCUGCGCAGUAGUAAAACACUCGCAACAGGAGCCCGGCGCGGUCCACUGCCGUAAAACCCCCCAACUUUUUAUAGUUGACCUCGAAUCAGGUAGGACUACCCGCUGAACUUAAGCUUAUCAAUAAGCGGAGGA